rnacentral:lncRNA from 1 species
AGGUUUUUCUUAAUAUGAUUGUAGGUUUUUUUUUCUCCCAGAUGAAGCAGCAGGCAUCGAUCUGUAGAACCUAUAAAAAAGAGAAUAGAGAUGUCUAACUCAUAACAGAAUUUUUCAAUUCUAUACAGAUUUCAUUUCCCCUGUCUUUCCUAAACCUUCUAGAACCUUAUUUCUCUUCUCCAUAGCUAAGAUUUCUUAACAUGGUAUCAGAUACAGGUUGUGGUGAUUCCUUAUCUCAGCAUGGAAGAGAAUCUACUGGUGAUUUCCUCUAUCUCACAUCGGUUGCAAUUGCAAUUGCGAUUGCUGUUUCUCAGUAGAUUUCUACUAGUUAAAUCUUUAGCAGUUUUUCUCCAUGGCUACUGAAAGUGAAACUUCUGCAUCUGCUUCACAUGGUCAAUAUUCAGAAGAAAUUCAUCCUAGUCACCCUUUGUACAUUCAUACCUCGGAUACUCAAGGUUCGAUUUUAACCUCUAUUCAACUUCAAGAAUCUGAGAAUUAUGCUCUCUGGAGUCAAUCUAUGUGGAUUGUACUGCUAGGCCAUAAUAAAUUAAGGUUUAUUCUAGGUACUUAUAAGAAAACAUGUAUAAUCCUAGUUUGCAUGAUCUCUGGGAAUGUUGCUAUGCUAUAGUUUUGACUUGGAUGAUGAAUACAAUGUCAAAGGUCUUGAUUAGUACAAUGAUAUAUGGAUCCGAUGCUUAUCAGGUGUGGGAGGAUCUUAGGGAGCGUUUUUACAAGGUGAAUGCUCUAGAGCCUUUUUUUUCACAAGGAAAUUGCAACCCUAACACAGGGCACUGAUUCAGUCUUCGUUUACUUUUCUAAGCUUAGAGAACUUUGGGAUGAAUUUCAGUCUUUAGUUCCUCCUCCUAGCUGCUCAUGUCCUGAAUCUAAGACCUAUAUAGAGCAUUUUCAUCUACAUAAAUUGUGGCAGUUUCUUAUGGGACUAAAUGAGUCAUACAAAUAUGCUAAGAGUCAAGUUUUGAUGACUUAUCCUCUGCCUAAUGUGAAUCAAGCUUAUGUUAUGAUUAUUAACAUUGAGAGUCAAAGGAGGAAGAUAAGUGGUGAUACUAUUGAGUCCACUGCUCUCAUGAAUAAUAGGCAUCCUCAGGGUCUGCUAUGUUUUCUCAGAAUACCAACCAGUAUGCUGGGUAUCAUGGGUAUCAGGUUCCUCAGAAUCACACAAGCUAUGGUUAUAAACCUAGAAUAUCCAGUUUUGACAAUGCUUAUUUAUUUUGUGACUUUAGAAAAUUCAAAUAUCAUACCAAGGAUACCUGCUAUAAACUCCAUGGCUAUCCUACCAAAUUCAAGUUCAAGAAGAGAGGAGGAUCCUUACAAACCUGUGCUAACAGUGUUGUGAAUUCAGGAUUUCUCUCUACUAAUAAGCAGGUGUACUCAUAUUUUCAUCUCCAUUUUCUUCUCCUUAUUCAGGUACUGGAGUCUCUACUCCAUAAGGAUCUGGCAACUUCUUCACCCAGGAGAACUAUGCUCAAAUCAUGCACAUGCUAAAAGGGAAAGAAACUGAAUCUGUUGCUAAUACAGUCAAGCUGAGCACAACAACCAGUUCUUCUGGAGGCACCUCUGAUUCUACUACAACUACAGGUAUAAAUACUGCUUUUUUGUCAAGAAUAGUUGAAGAAAAUUGGGUGGUGAAUACCAAUGUAUCUAAUCAUAUGGUGUAUAAUGUUAAUCUACUUAAGAAUCUUAAAGAGUUGCAUAUGCAAGAUAAAUUUCAUCUACCAAAUGGUGAUCAGGUUGUUAUUAGACAUAGAGCUGAUGCCUCUAUUUUAAACGCUAAGACAUUGCAACAUGUCUUAUACAUUCCAGAUUUCAAAUAUAAUUUGAUGUCUGUGUCAAAAGUUACCAAGGACUUGCAGAACAUCCUUCGUGUAUAAAAUUCUUCAGCGCAUUCCCCGAUGAAUAAAUACAAAUGUCCUCAGGGCAUUCCCCGACUAAAUAAAUACAUUUAUUUUUCAAAUGCGAGAAAAACCGAAUCAUUCAACUACCAUUUCAGCAUACAACAAUCCACAGGUUCUAACUUUUGUCUACCCAACCUAAUAUUUGCCAAUUCAUUCUCGACUUAAGACAUAAUACUAUCGAGUUCGAUACGAUGAACAAUUAUUCCAAAAAAACCAUCAAUGAAUUAAACACAAACCAAGAAUAUUCACUUUUUGUCAAUUUUUAAUCCUUUUCCCAAGUUGAUGAUUAAAUAUUCUAUCCAUUAGCCAAUAAAUUUCACCUAAUUCAACGUGUACGUCAAUUAGAAUAACUAAUUCAACAACAUCAAACCAUAUAUUCAAUCAACCAAUAAACAUCAAUCACCACGUAGUUCACCAACAUAUUUGCAAAAUCAAAAUGAGAUAUUGACCUCAAUCGAGUUUUUAGUAUGCUGAAUUACAGAUCGAAGGAUGGAGAUUCGCCACCGGACCUCGAUCGAAGAACCUCAACUAUGACCCAAUGCGACCCCAAACAAUCUCGCACCACUCGACGUCACAAAAAGAAAAUCUAAACCUAAUUUGAAUAUUUUUUCACUAGAAUCUAGGAUAGAGGAGAACAAUGUUGUUUUUGGCAUUUCCCCGAUAGGUUUGGGGUCGAAACAGUAGCCACGGGUCAAUUCCGGCGAUGAUUUCACCAGAAAAAUAGACCAACGCCCUUUUUCACUCUCCCCGUUCAAACCUAUCCAGUUGUUCUCUCCCUUGUUCACCCUCUCUGAUUUUCUCUAAUAUCUCUCGAUCUCUCCCUCUCACUGUGUUUGUGUUUGUGAUCUUUCCCAAAAUCAGUGAGGAGUGUGUGUGUAUAGUGUGCAGAAGAGGAAAAUGGAUAAUUGUUUUUCUUCCCCCUGUAUGUGCGUGAAUAUAUAUCUAUAUAUGGAAAGAAAAUGGUGCCCCCUCUUGGUUAUUGUGGGCCCUUUUGAAUAUACUCCCAUUUCCUGGAAAGUUCCCUGAGUGCUUAUGUGAGAAAAAAAAUGUGAAUAUGAUGGGGUGAGG